AAAGCAGGGUUAUCGGCAUCGACUAGAGUGCCCCCUUUCACUUCGAAUUAGCUGUCUUAACUAGACCACUAAUUAGAACCCUGGAAAGUCGACAGUGGCAGCUGUAGUGUGGACAUACCCUAUAUAUUUGACUUCAUGAAUGGACAAGUUUGUUCAUUUGAAAAUAAUAAAGAAACGUACUGUUAACUCUGGAGUAAACAGGUAUCUACUGCUGAAAAUUGCCAGUUUAACAUUAAUCAGCCCAAUAACUCAAAAGGAAAAUGUUCUAUGUUGUCCAAGAUCCAGGCUGUUUUUAGUGUGUAGGUAUUUCUCCAUCUAUCUCAAUUAUUUUCCAUAUAGGUCACAAAAAUCAACAUAAUCUUAAAGAACCACAAAGACUAUAGUGGAUAAAGAGGAUUUGGGCAGAAUUUCUAAUUAAGAGUUGUUGACGAGCAUGAGGAAAUAUGUGAAUAAUAAUGACAUGGAAGACAAGAGGCUGAAUGUGUCAACAGAAAGCUUUUACUAUUAGUUUUGCAAACUAUGUUUUUCUAAGGUGUUUGUUUCUAUUGAACAGGUUUUAGCAAACUACUUUUCUAAUUUUUUUGUAGUGACUAUGAUGAAGCAAUACAUCAAUCAUCCCAUGCUGCACAGCAUAAGUGCAAUGUGAUUUCCAUAAAUCUGAACAACUUAAAUGGGAAACCAAGUGUCACCCAAGCACAGUGGUGGUCAAAGGGCAGACUGCAAGUCAAAUACAGCCUACUGGGCUCUUAAUGAGGCUCAGCGCUUUAGUAGAGAGUGAUGGCGUGUGCAGACAUAGCUUCAUGGGCCACUUAGAUCAAAUCAGACAAUUGCAUGCUAAGAAGUGUAGACUGUCUGGACUGCAUGUCUGAAUUAAAGAGGUAAAGGCAGCGAUCUGCUCCGUUUCACAGGCAAGAGUCUGCCACUCUAACUUGCACUGAGCAGUGCUUUUCUUUGAAAAUUGUCCUAUAGCCUUCCAUUAGGUUGCAGAGGGAUGAUUGACACCUGGGUUUCCUCCAUUUUGGAGGUGUUAAAUGGCAUACAUUUACAGUAGAUAAAUCUGCAAUUCUUAGGUGUUUUAUGUGAGUGGGGGGUUGGCUUGAGUGAAAAGCAGUGGUUUUUCUGCCAGCCUUGUCUCUGAGUAAUGGUGUCAGGAUUUAUUUUAUUUUAGUAAAGGUUUUUCUGUGGUACUUAUCUCCACAGUGCCAGAGCACUUCACAAACAAACACAUUUAGCCCCCUGUCAGUCCCUGAUGUAUUAUGAAAAUUUGGCCCAAAGUGACCACAUUGUUCGGUGAGUUGACCAUUGACUGGCGUACUCUUUGUUUCUUUAUCUGCUAUACAACCAAUCUAAUCAUCCUUAAUGCUUAGCUAACUAAAGUAUGGGUCCUUCAUUCUGUCUGUGAACAGACUUCUUUUGAACCAUGCAGAUGGGCACUUGGCUGCUUUUGCUGUCAAUGUGUACUCUCUGCUGCUGUUUAGACAGCUGGCAGCAAUCCCAGCCUCUUCCAUUUUGGCGAUGCUAUAAUUCAGGUUCAUAGCUGCCUAAGCCUCAGAUGUUCGCUAAAUUAUGUAAGAUCCAGGGAGAGAGACAAGAAAACUUUGGAAAGCAUUGACAGUUCUUGGGGGAGUUUAACUGUUUAGAUUACAACUGAGCAAAGUCUCAAAUAUUAUACAAAAUACAUUUUUUUGUUUUUGUUUUGGGGGUUUUGGUCAGUUUUCAAAGCCUUCUCCUUUGAGAGAUAAACGGUAACUUACGGGAAAUAAAUGCACUGUGCUCUCUAAUUUUUUUAAAGAAAUAACAGCCAUGGUUAAUAGCUCAACUGAAACAGUUGAGAAGAAUCUUGACCAUUGCUACAGGUGAAAAAUCUGCAGGUCAGAUUAUAAAUCUCCAGGCUGGCGCACAAGUGCUGGAACUAAAGGUGGGUGAGGGGGCAGGGUGGAGCACCCGCUGGCUUGAAGUGUUUUCCAUUGUAUACUGGGUUUUCAAUUGGGUUCAAGAGCUCUCAUUACCCUCCACUAUAAAAAUUGUUCCAGCACUUUUGUCCUUGUGAGGGAAUUGAAGUGCAGAAUCUUGUCUAUAUCCCUGAAGUUCAGUACUCCUCCAUUCAUUACUGAAGGAUGCUCAUGCUAAAUGAUAGGUUUGUACAGAAGAAUGAAGUUAAAAAUAUACCAGCUACAGCAACAAAAAAAAUCUCUCUCUCUCUGUACUUCAGAGGAUCCUUACUUUUGUUUGGGAAGGCAAACACAGGUUUGAAAGCUGCAUUACAAUGUCCUUAAUAUAUUCUGGUGUUCAAGUGAUCCUUCAGUAUUUAAGGUGCUUGAUAGAGAUUUAGUUUGUUUAGUGUUCUCUUCCAGCUGGCUAUGUGCCACAACAAUAACCCUACCUAUGCUCUCAGAGAAAGCCAGUCUUUCAAAAGUACUAUCCCAAAUUCUAUAUUUUUCCUUCCAAACCAAAAUGUAGUAACAAUAAUACUUAACCUCCUCUCAACACUACUUCAACACACAAUUACAAAUACCCUUAUCCAACCGAAGAGUCAAAUUUACUAACAGUGUUCAGUCUUUGAGAUGCCCCAUACUGUCUCCUGGAAGUGGAGCACUACUGCUGUUAUGAGGAAGUAAGUUCACAUGGGGCAUGUCUACACUAGGAAGUAAUUUUUAAGUAAGUAAAAUCGAAAUAAUAAUUCCCAAAAACAACAAAAUCAAAAUAGCACAUCCACAUUAUGGGGCAAGCAUCAGAAUAGCAUCGAAAUAGCUCAGAAUGCACCAGGAGGGUGGACACUUCCCCUGGCUGCUUGGUUAGGCAAGCUGAGACACGUGCUUUCAAGGGGCUUCUCUCUACAGAAGCGUUUCACACGUGACUCCUACACUGCCUACCCCCCUCAUGGGACACCACAUUAGUACAGUGUGUUUUGGUUGCCCUUGCAGAUGCCACAGAACUGACAUCAUGGAUCUGGACCUUCUGCUAAGCAGUGCCAUGCUCACGGACCUCGCAUUGUGUCUCAUGGCGCAAUUUGUUGAGACUGCCUGCAUGCUGCUUUAACAGGAGGCUGACCAGCCUGAACCAGAGGACCCCUUCAUCCAGGUCCUGGGUGUCCUGCUGUUGCAAAUGUACCUAGCCCCCUGGACACUAUGGAACACCACUUCUGGCAGAGGCAGAGCAGUUCUGACUGGUGGGACCACAUCAUCCUGUAGCAAUGGCUCCAGUGGCUCCGGGACUAGCAGUGGCUCCAGAACUUCUGCAUGCAGAAGGCCACCUUCCUGGAGCUCUGCACAUGGCCUAUCAGGUGACAGGACACCCAAUUGUGACCAUCCAUCUCCCUGCAGAAGCGUGUCCUAUGACUACACUUCACUGCAACUUGCUUAAGCUCAUGCCUACUAAACUCUGGCCUGUCUGGCCAUGCCUAGCAAAAAUAGAUCUGAUCUGUGUAAUCACUUUUUUAGCUGUAGGAUCUUCCACUAAGGUUAUCUUGGAGGAAAUGAAAAUAGUAGUCUAGGACAACAUAGUUCCCCUUGCACCCAUAAAAGGGACAACUUUUCUUGUGUCUCCAACAUGGGCUCUUUUACUUGACUUGGCCAGUAAUUUGGGUGUACGUGAGAAGGCUUAAUAGCUUUUUUUAUGCUACUGUUCAGUUCAGGCCAGUAUAAAAUAUCCCUUCUCUUAAAUAUUUUUUUUCAAUCAUCUUCAUGUGUCAUUUGUAAUGCAUUUGUCUGUAAGGCUAGGGUGAAGAAAUCCACCUCACUGAUGUGGCCCCCAAAUGAGAAGCGGCAAGAUACUGCCCACAUUCUCUUUGCACACAUAGGGGGCUAGUAGAUUUUUGUGGGCCCCCAAAAUGAGGGGUUCAAUGUGUGGAAAGGAGCUGCUGGGAAGCGGGCUUUGGCUAUGGGGCCUAAGCAGACGGUGUGUGUGUGUGUGUGUGUGUGUGUGAGCAUGCACAGGAGCUGGGUGCAGCUCUCUGGGGACACAAAUGGCUCCAUAUCACUCACCACCACCACCACCACCACCCCCGGAACCGUCCCCUGCUGCUCCAUUGGUGAUUAGGGCCAAUCGGAACAGUGGGGGAAAAGCCUCCAGGCAGCACUUUGCUGUGCUGCUGUUUGCCCAUCUGGGGAGAGGGGGAGGGGGAGCAACAACCCACAGAGCAGCUUCCUCUCCCUGCUAGGCAGAGCCCAUGGGUCGUAUCUGGCCCUAGUUUGCCUAACUCCAGCUGGGGAGGCUCACCCUCUGCCACAGCGGGGAGCCGGCCCCGCUGGGAGAGUCCUGGGGGAGCCACAGGGCUGGAGUGCCAACACUGGCACUCCAAUGCUGGGAGAGAGAGUCCUGAACCUUGGAGGCUGGAUCCAGGCAAGCUGGGGACCGGAUCCAGCCCCUGGAUCUUAGGUUCUUCACCCCUGCUAUAAAGUUUUAUGGGUCACCCUACUUGUGCCUUGAAACAGAGUCCCAUCUAGUACUGAGAGCUCCCCUUUAAACUGAUGAUAGGGGAUUGAUAUAUGUUGGCCUGGCCUGCCUCUGAUAACCUUAAUCACUAUCUACCACAUCUCAUCCACAGCAAUAGCUCUGGCAAUCACAGCUCAUCUUUUAUUAGAUACGGGGAAGAGAGACUGUUAUCAGAUUACUCCAUAUAAAAAUCUGGCUCUGAAUCUUCUUGGUCCACUGCACUUUUGGCGUAUGCACUAGAGAGAACAUCUGCAACCACCAACUCUUUUCCAGGACACUGGAAGGGAGCUUGCAAUUUUAUUAUUUACUGAAGACCAAUGGAGUCAGUUUCAAAAGGAUGUGAUGUUGGAGCAUGGCAUCCAUGAAGCCACCCUGAGUCAGAGAACCUCAAGGAUGUCUGCAACAUUGUUUUGGAUUUGACAUUUGCUCAUAAAAUAUUAAAUAUGGUAUGCUUGAGCAAUCAUUCUUGUCGUGGAGAAAGCUAAGUUGGAGGUAUAGCAUUUGGACCAAAAGGAGUAUAUCUGAGCAGAUGUUCUAACAAAAGAAAAGCUCUCAAUGGUUUCUGAAAGCUGUGUGUAUACAACAUCUCUGACAGUCAAGCCCAUACAGACAAGCAUUCAUCACAAACUUGCAGCCUUGAAAACAAGUUUGACAGCAGACUGAGGACAGUGUAAAUGCAUGAUCACUUUAACACCACUUACUACACUGAUUGUAUUGCCUGUUGGAACAUGACUAAUCCACAUACAAUCAUUGAAAUGUAGGGCAUAAAGGGACUUCGAGAAAUCAUGUGUUCCACUCCCUGCUGAUGCAGUAUCAAGCAUAGUUAGAUCAUCCCUAACAGACGUGUGUCUUACCUGUUCUUAGAAACCUCCAGUGACAGUGAUUCUUUAACUUCUCUUGGAAGUUGAUUUCAGUAUUUAACUAUCCUUAUGAUUGAUUUAAAUCUCUCUUGCAGCAGAUGAAGUCAAUUAUUUUUUGCCCUAACUUGAGUGGACCUGGAAAAUUGAUCACUAUCUUUAUUAUAAUGGCAUUGAAUAUAUUUGUAGACUAUUACCGGGUCUCCCCACCCUCUUUUUUUUAUUAUUAUUAUUUUCACCUCAAGUCUAAACUUACCAAGUUUUCUUAGUCUGUCCUCAUAGGUCAGCUUUCUAAAUCACUUUUUUCAUUAUCAUUGUUGAUGCUUUCCUCUGGACUAUCUCCAAUUUGUUCACAUCUCAAGCAUGGUGCCAAAAGCGGGAUGCAGUAUUCCAGCUGAGAUAUCAGUGCUGAGUAGAAUGAAACAAUCACCUCCCAAGUCUUAUGUGUGGCACUUCAGCCUUUUCCACAACUGUAUUACAUAGGCUCAAGUGCAAUUUAUGAUCCGCUAUAAUCCUCAGAAUCUUCUCUAUGGUACCAUUGGCUAGUCAAUGUUUUUGUAUCCUGGGACAAAUGCAGCUAUUAGAGAGGCAAGAUGAGUGAAGCACUAUCUUUUAUUGGACCUGUAAUGUGAAUAGCUUCACCCAUGAGUUCCUCUCAGGGGCCUCUGAUGUACUGUGGGUCAAUCCCAGAAUCAAGUGUCCUCCUCACAUGAAAUUUUCAUAAGCAAAUUAGUUUUAAUUACUUUUAAGAGGGUGAAAAACUGGUUGAAUAACCUUCUCAAAGAGUAGUUCUCAAAGGUCAAUUGUGAAAACACAUAUCUAGUGAGGUCCUACAAGGGUCUUUUCCGUACAGAACCCUUAAUAACAUCGUAGUGUGGUGUGGUGUGGUAUGGUUUGUUGUGCAUGAUGCCACUCUAGCAGGGAUUUUUUUAAAGGCCAGGAUUACAAUUCAAAAUUAUUUGGAUAGUUUGGACAAUUGGUCUGAAAUCAACAAUCAAAUCUCUGCUUUUUUAGCUUCCUCCUUCACCUUGUGUGAAUGGGAAAACAUAGUUUUAUAAAUGUUAGAAAUAUUUUUUAUCAUUAGUCUUGCCUUCGGAAACUUCAACUGGUCCAGAAUGCGGCUGCUCAAGUUUUAACUAA